rnacentral:rRNA from 1 species
UACAGAGGGUGCAAGCGUUAAUCGGAAUUACUGGGCGUAAAGCGUGCGUAGACGGUUAUGUAAGUCGGGUGUGAAAGCCCCGGGCUCAACCUGGGAAUGCCAUUCGAGACUGCAUAGCUAGGGUGCGGAAGAGGGAAGCGGAAUUUCCGGUGUAGCGGUGAAAUGCGUAGAUAUCCGGAGGAACACCGGUGGCGAAGGCGGCUUCCUGGACCGACACUGACGCUGAGGCGCGAAAGCUAGGGGAGCAAACGGG